rnacentral:ncRNA from 1 species
CUACGGACUUAACGAAAUUGAGCCUUGUUAGAGAAAUCUAUCAAGUGACCGCUCUCAAACUCAGGGAAACCUAAGUCUGAAAUGCAGAUAAGGCAAUCCUGAGCCAAGCCUCAUAAUUUUGAGGAAGGUGCAGAGACUCGACGGGAGCUACCCUAACACGUAAGGCUGAGGGUAAAGAGAGAGUCCAAUUCUUAAAG